rnacentral:rRNA from 1 species
GAUGAACGCUGGCGGCGUGCCUAAUACAUGCGAGUCGAGCGAACAGACGAGGAGCUUGCUCCUCUGACGUUAGCGGCGGACGGGUGAGUAACACGUGGAUAACCUACCUAUAAGACUGGGAUAACUUCGGGAAACCGGAGCUAAUACCGGAUAAUAUAUUGAACCGCAUGGUUCAAUAGUGAAAGACGGUUUUGCUGUCACUUAUAGAUGGAUCCGCGCCGCAUUAGCUAGUUGGUAAGGUAACGGCUUACCAAGGCAACGAUGCGUAGCCGACCUGAGAGGGUGAUCGGCCACACUGGAACUGAGACACGGUCCAGACUCCUACGGGAGGCAGCAGUAGGGAAUCUUCCGCAAUGGGCGAAAGCCUGACGGAGCAACGCCGCGUGAGUGAUGAAGGUCUUCGGAUCGUAAAACUCUGUUAUUAGGGAAGAACAAAUGUGUAAGUAACUAUGCACGUCUUGACGGUACCCAAUCAGAAAGCCACGGCUAACUACGUG